AAACCCCGUAGGUGAAGGAGUCCAGGGCACUUCCAUUCUCAUUCGAAAACCAGAUGGCAUCUGCUGUGUCCUGGGAGAGGUCGUUCACCACACAAACCACUAAGGUCUUCCUCUCGCCGUUAAUGACCAUGUGUGAAACUUGUUGCUGAUCAACAGUUCUGUCUAGACGUGGGGGUGUCUUCGACAAGCACGCGCACGUGUCAUGGAGUGGUUCUGGCUCCACUCUGAGUAGAAAAUGAUGCCAUUUCCUUAUUCACUGGGGGUGCCAGUGAAAAGCUCAAUGCAAUGCACCAUCAUUCCCAGCAAAGAGAUGAGUAAAAAAUUGUGAAAUUUUGAAAACCUAUCAUCGGGGGAGGCAACCAGUGUUUCAGGAACACUUUGAUCAGAUGUCCUCCAACGUGCAGCAUAUUCUACCCUGGGCCAGGAAUUGGCAUAAGAUGGACUUGGAUUUUCGAGAGGUCACAAAUUUCAGCUUUAAACAGAAACCACGCUGCAGCUGCAACUACAACGAAUGAUUUUUCCAUCUUUAGUUUUACAAUAAUUGCUAGAAAUAUACUAUGAACUUGCAACUGACAUCUUUGAAGCAUCACUCAAUAAUAUUUAGCAAAAACACCUAAUUUGUUUUAGUUAUUACUUAUAUUUAAUACCACAGGGUAUUUUACUAUUUUUCCAAGAUCAGAAUAAAGUACUAUUUCUCUCCUCCGUAAUAUAAAAAGAUUUAUUUUGCCACAAGUUUAGGUUAGUUAAAAAUUAACUUUUACAAAGCCAGAGUCACAUUUCCAUGGAAUAAAAAAUAAAAUUGAACAAGGGACAAGACUUAAAUGUUGCUGCUGCAGUGUUUGCAGCCCAAAUUAUGCUAGGACUGAGAACCAGGAAGUGACACUGACUAGAAUCUGACUGUCACCUAAGUGAAGGUAACUAGUCUGUGUUAAUUGUUCACACACUGAGAGAAGCACUGAUAGCAGGAAGUCACCAGACUUAAAGCCCAGAUUGUGAAUGGCCCAAGUGGCUGCUGAGGGGUGAGCAAGAACUUGUGCUGCUGCCCUGGGGCUGGGGCUAACAAGAGCCUGCCCCCUUCACAUGGGCUGGCACAGUGGAAGCAGCAAUCUGCUCCCCCCAAUGAAUGGAGCAGACUGCACUCUCGGCACUAUGACAGACUGUGCCUCUCUGAGGCAGGCUCUCUCCAGAGCGCCUCCUAGAGCAGUGCCACUCUACCAUGCCCUGACUUCGGGCCAUGCCUUCAAAUCACCAGUGUUUUCCCCUUUUAAUCCCUGCAGAUGUAUUUCUCACAUAGGCAAAGAAAUGAUUUUUCCUGGCUGGCUGCACGACAGGGACACUGCCAGCCAUUAAGGCAUUAGGUUUGCUCCUUUAACAAAGACUUUCGGUGGUCUUCCAGUGUUCAAGGACAUUCCACUUUAUUUAACCUCUUCAGCACAACCGUGGUCCAUCCCCCGCUGGGCAGAGCCAUCACAGUUACUAGAUGCAGUGUCUGGGAAAAGGAGUUAACGCUUUAAUUCCCAACCCACUAGUCCAGUAAAGCAUUGGCACUGCUCGGUUUUCAUACCCGACUGUCUAAAGAGAUUUUUGGCUAAUAUGAAACACAAGCAGAGAGGACUGUUACAGGGCUAACAGUGACUAUUAAGGGAUCUGUACCGCUUCUCCAUUUGAUUGCUAAGUAAUUUAGCAGAUUAUCUCCCCAGUUAGAGUACACAGAUCAAACUAAUCCCACAGCUGUUGCAGGAUUUCAAGCUAUGAGUCAAUAAAUCCUCUGACA